UGAGUAACCUGCCCUAGACUUUGGGAUAACCCUCGGAAACGGGGGCUAAUACCGGAUACGACAACUCAUCGCAUGGUGUGGUUGUGGAAAGUUUUUCGGUCUGGGAUGGGCUCGCGGCCUAUCAGCUUGUUGGUGGGGUGAUGGCCUACCAAGGCGACGACGGGUAGCCGGCCUGAGAGGGCGACCGGCCACACUGGGACUGAGACACGGCCCAGACCUCCGUACGGGAGGCA
rnacentral:rRNA from 1 species